rnacentral:rRNA from 1 species
AGUAGUAAUAGAUAUAUGCUUGAAACUUAAAGAAUUUGGCGGUAUUUUAAUCUUUUCAGAGGAACCUGUUCUAUAAUCGAUAUUCCACGUUAAAUUUUACUAAAUUGUUUGUAUAUCGUUGUCGAAAGAAUAAAUUUUCUAAUAUUUUAAAGAAAAUAGAUGUCAAAUCAAGGUGUAGCUAAUAUUUUAGUAGAAAUGGGUUACAAUAAAUUUAUUUAGAAUAUUAUUAAAGGAGGAUUUGAAAGUAAAUUAAUUUUAAUAAA